rnacentral:rRNA from 1 species
CUAUAAAGCUAGCUCAACAACUUAACUAAAAUUUUCAACAUAUAUUUUUUCUCAAAAACCUUAACUAAAAAACCAAAUCAUUUGACCUCCCCAGUACAGGCGAUGAAAAAGGACAAACGAAGCCAUAGAUAUAGUACCGCAAGGGAAUGCUGAAAAAGAAAUGAAACAACCCAUUAAAGCAUAGAAAAGCAGAGAUUAACCCUCGUACCUUUUGCAUCAUGAUUCAGCCAGUAAAUGUAAGCGAAGAGCCCUCUAGUUUACAACCCCGAAACUUGACGAGCUACUCCGAGACAGUCAAGAAUGGACCAACCCGUCUCUGUGGCAAAAGAGUGGGAAGAUCUCCGAGUAGAGGCAAAACCCCUACCGAGCCAAGUUAUAGCUGGUUGCCCAAUAAAUGAAUAAAAGUUCAGCCCCGCUCAGCCCCACUCAAGACAGUUCUACUAAUAAAGACAAAGAGCUCUGUGCGGGAGUUAAUCAGAGGAGGUACAGCUCCCCUGAUAAAGGACACAACCUUAACAGGAGAUUUAAGAACAUUUUUUAAUUAAGGCUCUAAGUCUUGGUGGGCCUGAAAGCAGCCAUCCAACCAGAAAGCGUUAAAGCUCCGACCUUAAAAAAGCCUAUUAUCCUUUUACUUAUUCUUAAAUCCCUUUAACCCAUUGGGCCCCCCUAUGCCCCCAUAGAGGGGACUAUGCUGAAACUAGUAACAAGAAGAACGAACUUCUCCCUGCACAAGUGUAAGUCGAAUUGGACAAACCAUCGACAAUUAACGAACCCAACAAAAGAGGGUCCUAUACCCCCGCCAUCUAAAGCCAAGAAAAUUAUAUUCACCCCUAUCGUUAUCCCCACACAGGAGUGCUGUUUUAAGGAAAGACUAAAAGAAAAAAAAGGAACUCGGCAAACUCAAACCCCGCCUGUUUACCAAAAACAUCGCCUCUUGCAUUAAAAGUAUAAGAGGUCCCACCUGCCCUGUGACAUAGUUUAACGGCCGCGGUAUCCUAACCGUGCAAAGGUAGCGCAAUCAAUUGCCCUUUAAAUGGGGGCCUGUAUGAAUGGUAUAACGAGGGUUUAACUGUCUCUUUUUUCCAGUCAGUGAAACUGAUCUGUCCGUGCAGAAGCGGACAUUUUUAUACAAGACGAGAAGACCCUAUGGAGCUUUAGACACUAACCAACUGCCACAAACGACUCAACCAAAGAAGUUUCCUAGAAUCAGUAGUUUAUGGUAAUGUGAUCUUAGGUUGGGGCGACCGCGGGAGAAAACAAAGCUCCCAAGUAGACAGGGCUAAACCUGAAACCGAGAGCAACAGCUCUAAGUCGCAAAAUUUUUGACUUCAUGAUCCGGCCCAAAGCCGAUUAACGAACCAAGUUACCCUAGGGAUAACAGCGCAAUCCCCUCCCAGAGUCCCUAUCGACAAGGGGGUUUACGACCUCGAUGUUGGAUCAGGACAUCCUAAUGGUGCAACCGCUAUUAAGGGUUUGUUUGUUCAACAAUUAAAGUCCUACGUGAUCUGAGUUCAGACCGGAGUAAUCCAGGUCGGUUUCUAUCUGUAAAGUCAUCACCCCUAGUACGAAAGGACCGGGGUAGAUGGGGCCCAUGCUAAGACCAAGCCCUUCACCUACCUUCUGAAAACAACUAAAGCAGCCAAAGGUGGACCAUUUCUAAGUUCAAGAGAAGAACUAAAUUAAUUUGCUCGGGUGGCAGAGCC